rnacentral:rRNA from 1 species
CCUACGGGUGGCAGCAGUAGGGAAUCUUUCACAAUGGGCGAAAGCCUGAUGGAGCAACGCCGCGUGCAGGAUGAAGGCCUUCGGGUUGUAAACUGCUUUUAUAAGCGACAAAUAUGAUGUGAACUUAUGUAUAUGAAUCGCCUCACUAAGUGCCAGCAGCCGCGGUCAUACGUAGGGUCCGAGCAUUAUCCGGAGUGACUGGGUGUAAAGAGUUGCGUAGGUGGCAUAAUUAGUAGCUAGUGAAAUCUGGUGGCUCAACUACUCGGACUAGUAGCUGAACUGUUAAGCUUGAGAACGUUAGGGGUAACUGGAAUUUCUAGUGUAGGAGUGAAAUGCGUAGAUAUUAGAAGGAACACCGAUAGCGUAGGCAGGUUACUGGGCCGGUUCUGACACUAAGGCACGAAAGCGUAGGGAGCGAACGGGAUUAGAUACCCGUGUAGUC